rnacentral:lncRNA from 1 species
AGAACCUGUAAGCAAAAAAAGUGCCCACUAAUUUCCAAGAUGAAGCCCAAGUGAAUGGGAGAAUGUUGAAACAUAAACAGAGUGAAGUAAAGAAGAGAAGCUAAUUCUGUAGGGAAGAUGAUGCUUCUUUUAGGUUAAGAUCCAGCUGGCGAGACAUCGUGAGGAUAAGGAGAUUGCCUGACCAACUGGGAAAUAGCAGUCUAUACAGACGUCAGAGGCGCCUCUGGAGGGGAGUAUGCCGUAAUGCAGGGGAAGAGAGACUGACACAGUGACAGAGAGAAAGCUGCAGGGACAAAGUCCGUCUUCACACUCCCUGAAGCAAUGGCUGCUCUGAAGUUUUUCACCACAAGUUAUUUUUGCCUGUUCUAGAAAGUCAUAUAAGUGCAAACAUACGCUAUUUUCUUUGGAAGCUGAUCAAGUCUGGUUCAUGCGUUACCAACCACGUGCCAUCGUUCUGAAUUUGCCUCCAUUAAGAUUUCUGAUGGUGGUUGGAAAAACAUAGAAAAGGAUCUCAUUGUACUUGUGCUUGCUGAUAGAAGAG